GUCUACGAUCAUACCACGUUGAAAGCACCGCAUCCCGCCCGAUCUGCGAAGUUAAGCAACGUU
rfam:Trichinella zimbabwensis scaffold10415s, whole genome shotgun sequence.